ACGAGUCCAAUGUUACUGCAAGAUGGAUCCAUCGUUACUGGAAACCAGUUUCCCUCUCCCCUUCCUUCCUCCUUUUCAUCCUUUGUGCACCCCCUUCUUUUUUUUCUUUUUUUACUCCAAGGUUAUCGCUAGGGUUCGGUGUCUGACUAUGAAUCCACUGCUCCUGGCGGUUAACCCCUUCCUCUUUUUCAUUUGACAAGGCAGAGAGAAGUUGAAAGUUAAAGGUAGAUAGUGAAGGAGAGAGACAAAGAGUCACCUGCACCACAGCUUCACCACAUUCUUGAAACCUCCUCCCUACAGGAGAUUGGUGUGGAUAACAACUGAUCUUCUGGGAUAGCAGCCCACUUCAUUCAGACUCCAGCAGUUAUUUCACUGGACAUGUUUAAAGGUAUUUUAGAGCAUUUCUACUGACUACUCAUCUGUGGAGCAUAUCUUUGAUUUCUGGAAACGGUCAAAAGAAAACUUUGGAGUCAAGUAUGGGAUAUAGCUAUGACUAAGAAACAGUGAAAACUUGUUUCUCUCGAGUGGUUUGUGAGUUGACUCAAAGAACCACCUGGGAACAAUAUACCAUUAUUCAUCUUUGAUAGGCUAUGUAUAGCUGGAGGCCUGAAGGAUGACAUGGAUUCACUACAGAAUGAAUUAAUCCAUAUAGAUGGAAAGCAUCUCAAGUUGUUUUUCAAGGGGGCCAAAUGCAUACUUUCUGCCUAACAUCCAUUCUCAUA